UACGGGGGGGGCAAGCGUUGUGCGGAAUUACUGGGCGUAAAGGGCUCGUAGGCGGCCAACUAAGUCGGACGUGAAAUCCCUCGGCUUAACCGGGGAACUGCGUCCGAUACUGGAUGGCUUGAGUUCGGGAGAGGGAUGCGGAAUUCCAGGUGUAGCGGUGAAAUGCGUAGAUAUCUGGAGGAACACCGGUGGCGAAGGCGGCAUCCUGGACCGACACUGACGCUGAGGAGCGAAAGCCAGGGGAGCAAACGGG
rnacentral:rRNA from 1 species